UUUGCAUGACCGAGGAGCCGC
rnacentral:miRNA from 1 species